CCGUUGCCGGCGACCGGCGCACGGGUGAGUAACACGUAUGCAACCUGCCCGUGGCAGGGGGAUAAGCGGGGGAAACCCCGUCUAAUACCGCGUAACGCGGCCUUGGGGCAUCCCAAGGCCGCCAAAGGGAGCAAUCCCGGCCACGGAUGGGCAUGCGGCGCAUUAGCUAGUCGGCGGGGUAACGGCCCACCGAGGCGACGAUGCGUAGGGGUUCUGAGGGGAAGGCCCCCCACACUGGUACUGAGACACGGACCAGACUCCUACGGAAGGCAGCAG
rnacentral:rRNA from 1 species